rnacentral:rRNA from 1 species
UUUUUAUGAGAGUUUGAUCCUGGCUCAGGAUGAACGCUGGCGGCGUGCUUAACACAUGCAAGUCGAACGAAGCAUUUAAGACAGAUUUUUUCGGAAUGAAGUUUUUUAUGACUGAGUGGCGGACGGGUGAGUAACGCGUGGGUAACCUGCCUCACACAGGGGGAUAGCAGUUGGAAACGACUGGUAAUACCGCAUAAGCGCACAGCUUCGCAUGAAGCGGUGUGAAAAACUCCGGUGGUGUGAGAUGGACCCGCGUCUGAUUAGGUAGUUGGUGAGGUAACGGCCCACCAAGCCGACGAUCAGUAGCCGACCUGAGAGGGUGACCGGCCACAUUGGGACUGAGACACGGCCCAGACUCCUACGGGAGGCAGCAGUGGGG